rnacentral:rRNA from 1 species
GAUGAACGCUGGCGGCGUGCUUAACACAUGCAAGUCGAACGGUGAACGAGGGAGCUUGCUCCCUCCGGAUCAGUGGCGAACGGGUGAGUAACACGUGAGCAAUCUGCCCUGGACUCUGGGAUAAGCGUUGGAAACGACGUCUAAUACCGGAUACGAGGCGUGGGGGCAUCCCCAACGCCUGGAAAGAACUUCGGUCCAGGAUGAGCUCGCGGCCUAUCAGGUAGUUGGUGAGGUAAUGGCUCACCAAGCCUACGACGGGUAGCCGGCCUGAGAGGGUGACCGGCCACACUGGGACUGAGACACGGCCCAGACUCCUGCGGGAGGCAGCAGUGGGGAACAUAGCACAAUGGGCGAAAGCCUGAUGCAGCAACGCCGCGUGAGGGACGACGGCCUUCGGGUUGUAAACCUCUUUUAGCAGGGAAGAAGCGAAAGUGACGGUACCUGAAGAAAAAGCACCGGCUAACUACGUGCCAGCAGCCGCAGUAACAC